rnacentral:rRNA from 1 species
AUCAUUCUGAGUUUACGCUCUAUAACCCUUUGUGAACAUACCUAUAACUGUUGCUUCGGCGGGUAGGGUCUCCGCGACCCUCCCGGCCUCCCGCCUCCGGGCGGGUCGGCGCCCGCCGGAGGAUAACCAAACUCUGAUUUAACGACGUUUCUUCUGAGUGGUACAAGCAAAUAAUCAAAACUUUUAACAACGGAUCUCUUGGUUCUGGCAUCGAUGAAGAACGCAGCGAAAUGCGAUAAGUAAUGUGAAUUGCAGAAUUCAGUGAAUCAUCGAAUCUUUGAACGCACAUUGCGCCCGCCAGCAUUCUGGCGGGCAUGCCUGUUCGAGCGUCAUUUCAACCCUCAAGCUCUGCUUGGUGUUGGGGCCCUACAGCUGAUGUAGGCCCUCAAAGGUAGUGGCGGACCCUCCCGGAGCCUCCUUUGCGUAGUAACUUUACGUCUCGCACUGGGAUCCGGAGGGACUCUUGCCGUAAAACCCCCCAAUUUUCCAAAGGUUGACCUCGGAUCAGGUAGGAAUACCCGCUGAACUUAAGCAUAUCAAUAAGCGGAGGAAAAGAAACCAACAGGGAUUGCCUCAGUAACGGCGAGUGAAGCGGCAACAGCUCAAAUUUGAAAUCUGGCCCUAGGCCCGAGUUGUAAUUUGCAGAGGAUGCUUUUGGUGCGGUGCCUUCCAAGUUCCCUAGAACGGGACGCCAGAGAGGGUGAGAGCCCCGUACAGUUGGACACCAAGCCUUUGUAAAGCUCCUUCGACGAGUCGAGUAGUUUGGGAAUGCUGCUCAAAAUGGGAGGUAUAUUUCUUCUAAAGCUAAAUACCGGCCAGAGACCGAUAGCGCACAAGUAGAGUGAUCGAAAGAUGAAAAGCACUUUGAAAAGAGGGUUAAACAGCACGUGAAAUUGUUAAAAGGGAAGCGCUUGUGACCAGACUUGCGUCCGGUGAAUCACCCAGCUCUCGCGGCUGGGGCACUUCGCCGGCUCAGGCCAGCAUCAGCUCGCUGUCGGGGACAAAAGCUUCAGGAACGUAGCUCUCUUCGGGGAGUGUUAUAGCCUGUUGCACAAUACCCUUCGGCGGGCUGAGGUACGCG